rnacentral:tRNA from 3 species
GCCAGCGUAGCUCAGUGGUAGAGCGACUGUUUUGUAAACAGUAGGUCGUGGGUUCGAUCCCCUCCGCUGGCU